rnacentral:lncRNA from 1 species
CAAGGCUCCAAGUCCGUGGGGGAAUCCUUUGCAUACUUGCCAAGGAAAUCCCUAUAGGCAUAGCCAGCAGCAGGGGGCGCCCUGUUGGCUUGUGUCCAGCUGGUGGCCUCUUUCCAAUAUAUAUUUGGCCUAGGAAUUCUUAGAUGUUCCAGAAAAAUUCUCCGUGAAGUUUCAGGUCAUUUGGAGCAACUUAAUUUUUCUAACUUUUUCUCGGUUUCCCGGUCGAAAAUUCAAGUUACCCGAUAUUUCCCUCUUAGUGAUGUACCUUGCAUAUUCAGAAAGAAAGAGCAUAAGAAUUGUAUGAUAAUGAGGCAUAAUGGACAGGAUCAA